rnacentral:rRNA from 1 species
UGGCGGCAGGCUUAACACAUGCAAGUCGAGCGGUAGCAGAUCUAGCUUGCUAGAUGCUGACGAGCGGCGGACGGGUGAGUAACGCGUAGGAACCUGCCCAGUAGUGGGGGAUAGCCCGGGGAAACUCGGAUUAAUACCGCAUACGCUCUACGAGAAAAGAGGGGGCUUCGGCUCUCGCUAUUGGAUGGGCCUGCGUGAGAUUAGCUAGUUGGUGAGGUAAUGGCUCACCAAGGCGACGAUCUCUAGCUGGUCUGAGAGGAUGAUCAGCCACACUGGGACUGAGACACGGCCCAGACUCCUACGGGAGGCAGCAGUGGGGAAUAUUGCACAAUGGGCGCAAGCCUGAUGCAGCCAUGCCGCGUGUGUGAAGAAGGCUUUCGGGUUGUAAAGCACUUUCAGUGGGGAGGAAGGCCUCGUAGUUAAUAGCUGCGAGGAUUGACGUUACCCACAGAAGAAGCACCGGCUAACUCCGUG